GAAAAGAAGGAGACAUGCAAGUGUUAGACGUCUCUGAUCUUUGAAUUGCAUGUAUUCUCUUUGUCGGGGAGGAGAUUGAAUGGAAUUUAGAGUAAGGAAAGGUUUUGACGUCCGUGGUACGAUACGCGGAGGUGGAGGAAAAGGUUAAGAGCACUGUGGGUCGGAAGAGGGAAGGAGAGACAGAGGUCUUUGAGACAGGUUGCUUACUACGUGGUACCUAUGGUUAAGAGGUAGGCCAACUACGUCCGGGAGGGGUAGGCACGGGAACGCGGUCUUCCAAGGGGAGCUGUGGUACUAAGGUAAGUCCCUUCUUCCUUGCGCUAGGCAGUUCGUGUGUGCUUCUUAAUACGUACAGGCGCAUGUGACAAGUAGUUCAAGCAGCGUAACAAGGUAGUUUGAGCCCUCACUGCUGCUACAACCUGUACCUGUCUUUGUCCAAUGGCUUCUUCCUGAGUUGUGCUUCUCAAGGUACUUCUGCUUCCACUACUGAUGCUGAUGAUACCGCUAGAUAUCCUCACUCCAGUGCACCUGAUGUAGCUGACGGACACCGACUCUACCUCAGUGAUGCGUAAAAUGAAAGGCGACAAAAGACUAACAUUUACAGUACUCUGUAGAGUGAUCCAUACAGAACACUGUUUAUAUGAUGAACAUUAAUAAAAUGCAUAAGACGUUACUAUAGUAAAGCGAUACAACAGUUGUUAUUAGGACCCCAACUGUUUAUA
rnacentral:rRNA from 1 species